UACAACCUCCGACCCCGGACAGCCGAAGUCAGCGUCCGACCUCGGAACGCUCGGCCACAAGACGACCGACCCCGAAACCUCCGACCUAAGAGAAACCCCGAUGUCCGAGGACCGUACUCUAACACCCCUCCGGCAUUUAUUGCGCAUGGCCGCUGUAAUCUUCCGGCACACUCAACAAUAAAUGCGGAUCUCCGGCUUACUCCAUAAUAAAUGCGGAUCUCCGGCUUACUCCACCAAUAAUACGGAUCUCCGGCUUACUCCAUAAUAAAUGCGGAUCUCCGACUUACUCCACAAUAAAUGCGCAUGGCUCCUGACAUCUACGGAUCCCCAGCUCUCCAUGGCAAAUCGACCCAGCAGGGUCUAGUCGACUAUGAUAAGUCUCUGAUCUCGGCCAUACCGCCGACAUCAGUGCAAUGAUUCGCCUGACCGAGCGCCGACCUGAACAACAUGCCAAGCCGUACUACGGCCUCGCCCUGUUACAUCACAGGUAAACCGACCCCCGCAUAUAAAAGGGAUCCUUGGCCUCCCAAGAGGGGAUUGGAACAUUCAUACACCCAAAAAUCACUGUUUAUCUCCUUCUCCCCACUAUUUGCCCCCUCCCUGACUUGAGCGUCGGAGGGCCGGCGCCGGAGAACCCGGCCACCGGUUCGUGUGCAGGCACCCGGACGGAGGACGCC
rnacentral:lncRNA from 1 species